ensembl:lncRNA
CCUCUCAACAUCAUGUGUGUGUGCGGCGUCUUACGUCAGAGUCGGGCAGCAGGUCGUCCUCAUCGUCCAAGCUGUAGGACGCACUGUGGAAGUCCUGCGUCUCGGCCAGCAGCUUCCUCUCCAGCGUGGAGCCGGGCCGAAUGUCCACAAAUGUGGUCUCCAGGUAGUCUUUGCUGAGCAGGGAGUCCGCGUGGCCCCAGAUGGGAGCCGGCGGGUAAAAGGACUCCAGCGUGCGGGGUAAGGAGCAAGGGUCCAGCGGCUGCUGCUGCUGAAGCUCAGGACGAUGUCCAGGAUAGCUCCUCCAGGCCAAGGGAGGGUAGGCCCUGUCCUCCUCACACUUCACCAAGAUGCCCUUGAACAUCCCGCCAGGGGCCGGUCCGGGCCCGGGCCUCGGGCCCGCCCCCGAUGCCCGGCUGCCAUGGGGGCCUUCUCCCAGAAGAGGGUGCUCCAGCUCAUCUAUAUUCUCCAUCCGUCUCUUUUAAAGCCAACCGCACAAGAGGACACCGCAUCCACGGCCAAAUGUAUUCUACGAAUCGGUCCGCGGAGCGACUCCCUGAAGAGAUUCAGUGGGUUUACGCAAAGGCAGCUGCUUUGGCGGCUUUAGUGUUUCAGUGAUAAUCCAUCCGUAAUCCUAUUCUUUAACUUUUCUCUUAUUGCAGGCCUCUGUCCAGAGGCUGAGAACACACGCCAGGUUUAUGAAAUAUCCUUUAUGUUCCAGUGGUGCCCGUCUCCUGUGUGCCGUGAUAUGUGAUGAAUUUGUUCAGGGGAUUCAAGAUCCUCUUUUCCUCACAUGUCGGUUGCUAUUUGUUUCAGGGCUUCAUGGCUCGGGGUUCGCCCCGGCGUCUUUCAUUUCACAUGGUUGAGUGCGUCAGCGUUCAUGAAUAUGCUAAUGUUGGCUCACUCACUCUCUCAGACAAUGUGGGAAUGUCAAUUCUGAUGAUGGAGGGAGGACCUUGAUUAGACACUGACAGGCUCGCGAAAACACCGGGGAAAGGGUUUUCCGUGUGACCGGCCCUCAGGAGCUGAUGGAAACCGUCUCUGUCAAUAAACACAAAGUCUUAAUAAUCGAAGCACAGUGUCACGUUGUCAAAAUGAAAGUCAGUGUUGCGAGUAAAGAAACAAUUGUGAAGAGAAUAACAAAAAAGUCUUUCAGUCCGUUGUGACGUGCAGCAGUGUGUUUGUUUCCGGGGGGUAGAGGAGAGAGGAGGGGGGGCAGCAGUCUAACUAGUGUCGGAUUGGGGCCAUAUUUGAGGGCAGUUAAUCUGUAAAAGCAACCCGGCUCCAGAAAUAGAAUCCUAUGCCGCGCGGCGGAGGGUCAGCGGUUCGGCCAACAAGCCGGUUCCUCUGCUGCCGCUGCAGGAAGCCGUGGUUAAGAAAUCAAAAGUCCUCCGGUGUUGAUUUAUGGCUGCGGGUUUGCUGCCUGGUUAGGCAGCGCCCCUUUGGGACAUGUUUUUUUAAUGUCCCUCCAUCCACCUUAUUAGGGUUUCAUUCGUGAC